rnacentral:rRNA from 1 species
UACGGAGGAUGCAAUCGUUAUCCGGAUUUAUUGGGUUUAAAGGGUGCACAGGCGGCGCGUUAAGUCAGCGGUGAAAUGUCCCGGCUCAACCGGGGAACUGCCGUUGAUACUGGCGUGCUGGAGUACGGACGGCGCCGGCGGAAUGUGUCAUGUAGCGGUGAAAUGCUUAGAUAUGCCACAGAACACCGAUCGCGAAGGCAGCUGGCGAGGCCGGAACUGACGCUGAGGCACGAAAGCGUGGGAUCAAACA